ACUCAAAUGAAUUGACGGGGACCCGCACAAGCGGUGGAGCAUGUGGCUUAAUUCGAGGCAACGCGAAGAACCUUACCUGGGCUUGAAAUCAUAUGGGCGUUCCAUGAAAGUGGAAUUUCCUUCGGGACUGUAUGACAGGUGCUGCAUGGCUGUCGUCAGCUCGUGCCGUGAGGUGUUCGGUUAAGUCCGGCAACGAGCGCAACCCGUAUCAUUAGUUACCAUCAGGUCAAGCUGGGGACUCUAAUGAGACUGCCCGUGUUAAGCGGGAGGAAGGCGCGGAUGACGUCAAGUCAGUAUGGCCCUUACGUCCAGGGCUGCACACGUGCUACAAUGGCCGGUACAAUGAGACGCGAAACCGCGAGGUGGAGCAAAUCUACAAAACCGGUCUUAGUUCGGAUUGCAGUCUGCAACUCGACUGCAUGAAGCCGGAAUCGCUAGUAAAGGCGUAUCAGCUACGACGCCUUGAAUACGUUCCCGGGUCUUGUACACACCGCCCGU
rnacentral:rRNA from 1 species